AUCUUGGUUUCCAGAUACCAAAUUCCAAAAAGACUUAGAGAUCCUUGAAGAAAUGACUUGUUCUAAGGCUGAAAUUGAGAAAAUACAAGAAAUCCCAGCUGAGAACUCGGAAGUGUAGAAAGAAAAUUAUUUUUCUUCCUUUACUGUUUUCACUCUCAGAAACUGGAUACAUAAGAGUUGAAUAAAACUAAAGCAAGGGGAAGGAAGGUGAUAAUAAAGACAAAAGCAGAAAUUAAUACAACUUAAGAGAGAAGAGAAACAAUAGAGAAAACCAGCAUAACCAAAUGUUUUUUGAAAAGAUGUAUAAGCCAACUGACUUGUUGCUUGGAUCAAGAUGAUGAUAGAGUAGAGAUGGUGAGAAAUAGUCAGAUUCUGGAUAUGUUUUGAUGGUUGAGCCUAUAGGGCUUUUGAUACAUUAGCAGAAGGCUAUGAGAAAAGGAAUCAGGGAGUCUUCAAGGGUUUGGAUCUAAGCCACUAGGAAAAUACAUUUGCCAUACACCAAUAAAUGGAACACAGAAGAAGGAGCAGGUUUAGGAGGUACAUCAGUCAAGAUAUGUUUUUUCUCUGAACAUGACAGAGGAAACCAUAUAAAAAUUACUUUAACAUUAUGUAAGUUUAUAGUAUAGCUCAUGUAAAACAAGUCUGGAGAGAGAUAAUCAAAAUAUCAUUGGAGAUUCAAAUUCACAUAUUUAUGCUCUGCUAUCCUGGCACAUGUUUCUCCUUAUCAAUUUCAACUGUUAUUAUUCAGAUGAGACCAAAUCCAGUAAAUAUGUGCUCAUUCAAGCUGAAAGAAGGAAAUUCAGGCUCUCUUUUGGGAACCCUUUCAAUUGUGUUAGUUCUCUUUAAGCAGCCACGCUGAAAGUCCCAUGUAAUAGAUCCAUUGAUAUCACAUUGGUUAGAGUUAGAUGCAGGACAAGCCCUUUUGCAAGAAAGGCUCUAGACAAAGUAAUAUCUGAUACUGGACACUGAUCUAUUCAACUAAAACCAUGGCUCCAGAGGGCACAUGCUAAAAAUUCUGUGGAAUAAGAAGGAGAGGGAGAUGGAGAUUAGGAAAUAUACAGAGCCACAUGAGGAUAAAAUAUGGCAAUGAGAAAAUCUUGGAAAUUCUGUGAUAGAUGCACACAGUGAUAUGACAUAAUGACAUGAAGAACAGUAUGAGAAAUGUUAGCAUUUGUAGUGAUCCAAAGGCAGCAAUCUAACAAUCUAGCCUAUUCAAAAAGCCAGUCAGAUGGUCACAAACAUUUUGAAAGAGAAAAUUCAGGUGUUAAAGAACAGGAUAGAAGUAAGAAAAAAAAAAAAAAAACAGGCAAAAGAGUUUAAAGGAGAAGACAGAAGACAGAAUCUGGAAAAAUUAUCUGAAAAGGAGCAGCAAAGACUCCACAGAGUGCUUGUAGACCAAGGAAUGGAGCGGAAAGGAGAGGGGAACAGUAACUUGUACUAAAAACUUUGGUCAUUGUUGCAAAUCUAAUUUCAAUUAUAGAACAGCUCCGAUAUACCAUCCAUGGUACAGAUGGGACACAGUUACAUCUUUAUCACUAAUUACUGGUAACUAACAAUUAUUGGUAAUAUUGGUAAUUAUUAAAGAUAUUUUGGUCAAGUAA